AGAAACUUCUAGCUCAAUUUGUGAAAAGUCUUGGCCCCCAAACAAAAAAAAAAAAAAAAAAGAAGAGAAAGAAUAAAGAAAGGGGGCUAGCAAAAUUAGUAUGAGCUAAGAGGUGUUCAAAAAGUGUAAGAAAUCUCUUGUAAAAAAAAAAGAGUUUUAUGUUGGGAAAUGCUUUUGAAGUUCUUGGGUGAGAGAUGUGAGUUGGGUUUGGAAUGGAAAAAUGAAUGUGUAUCAUAUAUGUUUGGGAAAAUGGUAGAACAAUGGAGAUUGAGCAUUGUAUGCAUGAGUUGAUCCCUUUCUUAGAUAUAUUAUGUGCAAUGUCAAGGCUACUUGUCU
rnacentral:lncRNA from 1 species